AAAGUAAUGUCUCUGCUUUUGUUGUUUUUUUUUAAUUUUAUUUUAUUUUUAAACUUUACAUAAUAAUAAUAAUAAUAUUUACAUAAACUUUACAUACAUCCUUGUUGUUGUGAAAUUGACUUCCUGGAUGGAAAAGACAAAACAGACACACAAAUAAUUAUGUAAAACUUAGGCUGAGAUAAGUUCUAUGAAGGAAAUUAACUGUGAAAAAUUCAUGCAAAGAUCAGGGGAAAGGAAUAUGUCAGGCUGAGCAAGAAGCCAGUAAAAGCUCUAGGGCAAAAGCAAUUCUGGCAGAUUUGAGGAAGAAAAUAAAACCUGAAUGGCUCAAUCCAAGCUAAAGAAGAGGAGUCAAGUAUUAGACUGUAUCCCAAAGGCAGAGAAACCAAGACACAUGGGGCCUGAUGACCAUAGGGAGAAGUUUAGGUUUUAUCAUAAGAAAUACAAAAGUCAUGAAGGCAAGAUGUUACAUGAGGGAUUUACAUUCAAUACAAAACAUCUCUGGCUGUAUUUCAGAGGACUUUUGAGAGCAAGGAAUGCAAACAAAGAAAACAGAAAGACCAAUAGGAGCCAAAGACAUAAAAGAGCACAUAAUUGAUAGAUUUAAAUAUUGACUUUCACUCAAAGAGAUGUAUAAACAACUGGUAAUAAUUUCUCCUGGAGUGUACUUUUGAAAAAGAAGGCAAGGGUGAUAUGAGACUAUUCGUGCCCUGAGGUUGAGGAAGAAUUGUUGGGACGGUAUGUCUCCAAAUGGAAAACGGGACACCGAAAAAAGUCAAAGGUGGCUUGUAGAGAGCUCUACAGUUGGUCCUGGAGGUAGAAAAUGCAGAAACUGACAGAAAGAGGGGUUUAUUACUCAGUAAUAUCCAGAAGAGGAAGUGGCUUAGGUUUCAAUACUUAGAAUUAAAACAUUCAUGGAUAAAAAUCCAAGAGCCAUUAAUGACAAUGCUGUGUGAAUGUUUUAAGAUCAGCUGGGGUCACAUGGUCAGUGGCUGUAAAGAGCAGAAGAUGCAAACAACCUUUAUGGAUGAGAGUCCAUAAAUAAAUAACCUUCCUGAAGAUACAGUGCAACAUGACUGAGAGACCAACAGUCUGUAAAGACCAGCUGCCUUAAUGACCCAGUUACUUAAUACUGAUUUUAUUUACCUGGCAAGUGAUACAGUUUCAUCCCGCAUUUAGAAACAAGCUGUCUAAGUGAGAGAGGACCAUUUCAAGAAUGGAUGGCAAAAUAUCCUUUUUCAGAAGGGUGAAAUUACAAUGCAAUGUAUGUAGAUACUCAAAUCUUUAAUUAAGGCACCAGGGUCAGCAUUGAAGCAAUGAUUCUAGAAAUGUUACAGCUCCUCAUAAUCGACCCUUCCCCACCUCAGAUGACUGCUUUCCUCUGCCAUGUUAAAAAGGGAAAUUAAGUGUUGUUAGAAAGAUGGGUUCUGGACUGACUCCUUUGAGACGGCUUCUUUGGAAGCUGGCAUUGAGGCUUUGAAAAUGGACGGGAUUCAAGUGUGUUCUCAGGAACAGAAUAAUUAUGGAUAUUUGAGGAUAAAAAUAUCUAUGGAAGGUGAAUUUGAGGAAAGAAAGAAGUAAUAAGAAACAUUUGUUUCUGAAUAAAGAGCAUUACCCUGCACCAUCCCUACCACUGCCACCACUCAAACUACUAGCUGGGUCAAAAAAAAAUAUUUAUAGCUAGAGAACAGUAGAGGAAGUACUUAACAUUUUCUGAGAUUACCAGAAUUUGUUUUACUUUUUUAAAAAAGUUAUCAAGAGAAGUCAUAAAACCUUUUCUGCAGACUUCCUUACAACACUUUUAUUCAGGGAAAAAAAAAAAAAAUUGCAAUUCCGUGAGGCUUUCUUCCACUUUCCAAGGUUGGCUUAUCUCUCUGUGGUGUUCCAUAUGACUUAUCCAUCUGUAUUACAGCAUUUACCACAUUUAUUAACCUUUAAUGUCUUAUUUUUAUCUCUUGCCAGCUACAUUGUGGGCUUUUAAUUUAAUCAUUUUUUGUUCUUAGUAUCUAGGACAUUGUUAACUACAUAGUAGGUGCUUAUUAAACACAAUAAGCACAAUAAGGUCAUCCCUUUUGGAUAGUACAUAGUAAAUCAUUUUGAAGACUAAUAUAUAAUGAAGAGAGGAUCAAUUCUAUAUGCUGUAAUACGGGUUUCAGAAUAUGAAAUUACUGGUUUGAAAAUCCACUAUGGUAACUAAACACUUAAACUUAUGAUCAAUAAUUUGAAAUAUACCAUCUACCUCCAUGUGAGAAAUAAAUAACCCCAUCUCAAUCCUAGAAGAGAAAGCUAAGACAAAUUUUAAAUAUGUAGUAAUAAAAGAUGACACACAACAGUCAAAUAAUUUAUAUCACAAGGGCAACAAGAGGACAUGAUUAAAAUAAUCUACUUUGUUUUUGUUCGAUUAGUGUUCGAUUAGCCGUGAGUCCAAUGUUUUCAGUAGUUCAUCUAACUUCCACAGCAGUAAUGAUUUGGUAGGAAUUGUUAUAUGAAUUUUAUGGAUGAAAAAGCAAGCCCAGAGGUUCCACAGCUAGCAAGCAUCUAGACUGGGGUUGAAAAUGACCUUUACUUUUUGUCCCACACCACUCAAGGAAUAGCAGUGGAGAGAAUAGAGACUUCACUAUAUUAACCAGGUGCAGUUCCAGGCUGCAGAUAGAUCUUCAAAUGGACUGUGGUGAAUAGAAUUCACAUGGCUUAAUGUGGAGGAAGAAGGACAUUUCUGGCGCUUCAGAAGUGGGAAACCAAAUAGAUAUGCAAAAAAGAAUCCAUUGAUUGAUUCUGAGAGUCAAAGGUAUGGAAGAACAAAUAGAAAGUUAGACAUGUACACAAGUGGAGUAAAUGAUGAAAUAAACAUGGUUUGCUCCUUGUGUUUGAGGAUAUAUUUAAGAAGGAAGAAAUGAGGGGCAGACAUUUACUUUGCUUGAUGGAUGGAUUCCCUGGCUGCUUCUCAAGGCAAUUUGAAGUGAGAGGAUACCGUUAGAGAUUGAUAAGCUUAACCUUCUAGAAGAAUAAUUAAUAUUUAUCAUUUCUCAAUAACUCAGUGGGCAAACUGAGGUUAGGUUUAUAUUGCAUAAGUGUGUCAAAAUUAAGAAAGCCCUUGAUAUUAAUAUUUAGAUGUGGAUUAAUUGAAUGACUGCUGAAUGAAUUAGAAUAUUUCCUACCUUAUGCUUUAUUUAGUUUUUUAUAUAAGAGAAAUACUUCUACUGCUGCUGCCACUACCGCUGCUAUUUAUAAUGACAAUAUAGCUAAUGUCAAUGGGAUGCUCACUAACUUCCAGGGAGUGUUGCUUGUAUACAUUAUUUUGUUUAAUUCUCAUCAUCAAACCCAGGAGUUAUAUACUACUAUUAUUUACCUUCUAACAGAUGAUGAAACCAAGGCAUAAAAAUAUUAAGAAAUUUAACAUUAAUAAGAGACUAAGUAGGGUAUUCUAAACUAUGAGACCCUGUUAUAUUAUAAUGUCAUUCAUGGGUACUCUGUCACACUCAAAGUGAUCUUUAAUGUUGGUAACAAAUUCUAAUAGGAAUUGUUAGACCAAUAUCUAUUAAUUAGGACUUCCAGCUUUAUCUUCCUGUUUUUAGAUGUUUGUCUCUUUAGAUGAUAUGGCUUCAGCAUAUCAGAAUUUCUAGUAACUACCAAUUGCACCAACAACAAUUGUAGUGUCUCAGAACAUCACUUUAUCACAAGAAAACUCAGUGAUUAAAAUUAGGUUAAAAUAACACUCAUAUGUAGAAUUAUUUACAAUAUUUCUGCACAUUUCAGUUGAUAAAAUCUUUCUGUCAAAUUUGACAAACGUAUGGCUCAAGAAUUCAAAAAGUCUAGGGCAAGGGGAACACACUGUCAGGACACACUGAAACAGAGCCACAGAGUGAAUGUUCUUAGUGAAUGGCUCUUUCAGCUGAGAAUACUCUGGGGGGAAAUGUGUGAGGACAAGUGGAAAGGCCAAGGUGGUCCCAAGCGUUGUCACACACAGCCAUUUUACAGAUGGUAAAACUGAGAUCUAUAAAGAGGUCACAUAUAUUGUUACUAAGGCCAGUCUUUUAUUUCUCAGUGUAGGGUUUUCUCCAUAUUUACAUGUGACCUAGAGAUGUGGCUGUAUAGUGCAGAAAAGUGCACAUGAGACCAAAAAAUUCUUCUUUUUGGCUGUCAGCAUCAAAUAAGUAAAAACUUGAGUUCCUGGGAUUCCAAAUGAUUGUCUGGACGCUGUUCAGUUGUGCUAACUAGACCAGAUUGUUUGGGGUCAGUCUCAUUUGGCUUUGUUCAGCUACACAUGGCCUCAUUAUAAAACAGGGCCAAAAUGAAAGAAUACGCUUUUCCUUAGUCCACAUUUUCUACUUGGUGAAAAAAUGAAGAGCUUCACCCUCAGGGUCACAAUGACAACUUUCUCCACUUUUCUCAGCAGUAGUUGAAAACUAUCUUGUCGGCAUCAUUGCCUGCUUUAACAGGUGCUGGGAGGGGGACAAGCAACCGCAGGUGUAGGGCAUAGAAAAGUCAUCUGGAAAAAAUGUCCUUGAAAAGUCCAAGUUUCUCGUCUGUUGUGUCUGUCCUUUGUAGACAAAUCAGUGUGCUACGAACUGACAACCCAACUGAUAUGCCUCUGGCCUAAACCAACAUCACCAGCCCGAGCCCCUUUCUCUUACAACCUCUCGUACACUUCCAUCCCCUUGAUUCCAGUGCUUCUCAAGCAUUAAUGAGUGUAUGAAUCACCUGAACCUUGUUAAGAGGUAGAUUUUUCAUUCAAUAGGAUUGUGCUGGAGGGCCGCAUUUCUUACCCAUUGGUAGGAGAAGCCAGUGGCUACCGGUCUGCAGAUCACACUUUUGAGUGGUAAGGCUCUAUUUCUUUUAUAAUUGAUAGUUGAGAGGAUGAAGGUAGAUUUUGGAGGAAGAGAAGAGACAAUUGAUUUCUUUCUCCUUUUCCCACGCGCUUCACAGUGAAACAAUUGUUUUAUUUCUUUGCCAACCAUAAGAAACAAUUUUCAACUGGGACAGCUGAAGCAGACUCAAAGGUAUUUUGUUUUUCUAUUUUUCUUUUUGGAUGGAAAGUAGGCGAAGGAAGGAGUUACCAUUGUCAUUGGACGUGGUCUUGAAUACCUUAAAGAGGGGCUGCUGCAAUACAGUGUGGGAAGAUGGGAACGUGAUAUGUGAUCAUCUGAAUGGAGAUUUGAGUGCAGGAAUAUUUGGGGGUCAUUCUCUUGAAGGGUGAAUGAAGAGAAGGUAAUACAGUUAAGCAGGUAGGACUUCCCUGAUGAUCCAGUGAUUAAAAAUUUUCCUGUCAAUGCAGGGGACACAUGUUUAAGCCGUGGUCUGGGAAGAUCCUACUUGCCACAGGGCAAGUAAGCCUGGUCACCACAACUACUGAGUCUGUGCUCUAGAGCCCACGAGUUGCAGCCUCUGAGCCUGCCUGCCUAGAGCCUGAGCUCUGCAACAAGAGAAGCCAAUGCAAUGAGAAGCCUGAGCAUGCCAACUGGAGAGCAACCCCUACCGGCCACAACUAGAAAAAGCCUGUGCAUAGCAAGGAAUACCCAGAGCAGCCAAAAAUAAGUAAAUAAAUAAGAUUGGGAAGAUAGAAAAGGUAGGUUUUAUGCAAUCACAAUAAAGCCCUUAGCAACCUACGUAGACUGCUAAAGUUUACAAGAUCAUUCAGUUUUGGCAAGGACCCCAGAUGUCCAGUCACUGGAUACUGGCUAUUCCUGAAGUGGAGCAGGGCCUGAGGACUGUGACUCACAUCAAAUGAUGCAAUUCCUGAAGAGAGCUGAGGGCUGCUGACUGGGCAUCACUCCCAGCAACCCCCUGCUGCUGCUACUGCUAAGUCACUUCAGUCGUGUCCGACCCUAGCAGGGAGGAAGUAAGUGUGCUGUCCUGAGGGGUAUCUGGGUAGCAUGUAGUAACAUUCACUACACAAGUUCAAUGAAAAACGAGGUAAUUUGUGUGUGUGUUGACCCACACUUUGUGUUGUUAUUAUUUUACAUAUAUAUUUAUUUAUUUAUUUAUUUAUUUAUUUAUUUAUUUGACUAAGCGGGGUCUUAGCCGCCACUGGCCGGAUCUUCUAUCUUCCUUGCUGCAUUCCGGAUCUUCAUUUGCAGCUGUGAGCUCUAGUUGCCACAUGUGAAAUCUAGUUCCGUGACCAGGGGUUGAAUAGGGCAUGCCAAUUGUGUGCCAACUCCCCUGCAUUGGGAGCCGGGAGUCUUAGUCACUGGACCAUCGGGGAAGUCCCCGUGUUGUUUCCAAUAUGAUCACUGACUUAACUAAUUUGGGGACAAACUACUAAUAAAACCUACCCGCCUAUUUGUGUUACCUUUCAUUUUGGCGGUUAGCAGGAUUUCUCCUCUCCUGUUUCCCACCCCUAGCCCCUCUCCACUCUGGCCGUGCUGCCCCAUCUCGCCCCAGAGGCCUGAGAACUCCAUGGGACAGAAUCUAGCCCAGGAGGUUAGCGUUCAGGUUUCAGGAAUUGCAAACACCUGCUCCAGGCUUGGAAAAAAGCUGCGGCCGCCAUUUUCAGGUUCUUCAGGCGGCAGGAGCAGAGGCCCUGGUUUCAGCAGAGAAACUGCAGCGGCUUCUGGGCAUUUUCCUGUGAAUCUUCUGCCUCAGUUUGCAGAGCACAGUUCAGCCCAGAGUUUCGCAAGGUAUCAACAUCACCUGGGAGCCUGAAACAGUGCAAAUUCUCAGAACUACUGCAGACCGACCUAUCCAGAAGCUCUGGCUGCUGCUGCUGCUAAGUCGCUUCAGUCAUGUCCGACUCUGUGCGACCCCAUAGACGGCAGCUCACCAGGCUCCCCCGUCCCUGGGAUUCUCCAGGGAAGAACACUGGAGUGGGUUG